AUUCCAGCUCCAAUAGCGUAUAUUAAAGUUGUUGCAGUUAAAAAGCUCGUAGUUGAAUUUUUGCUUGCCCCCGAUGUCCGUUAUUUUGGUACGUUCGGGGGCGUGCAUCCUUGGGUGGAACCUGUGUGGCAUUAGGUUGUCGUGCAGGGGAUGCUCAUCGUUUACUGUGAAAAAAUUAGAGUGUUCAAAGCAGGCUUACGCCGUUGAAUAUAUUAGCAUGGAAUAAUAAGAUAGGACCUUGGUACUAUUUUGUUGGUUUGCGCACCGAGGUAAUGAUUAACAGGGACAGUUGGGGGUAUUCGUAUUCCAUUGUCAGAGGUGAAAUUCUUGGAUUUCUGGAAGACGAACUACUGCGAAAGCAUUUACCAAGGAUGUUUUCAUUG
rnacentral:rRNA from 1 species